rnacentral:rRNA from 1 species
AUGUCGCGCGAGAGAUGGCAGGGAUGCGUUCUUGUUCUCGUCCUUCUUCUCUUCAGCGCGUCAGGCACUUCUCUGGGGGACAACACGAUCGUCCCUUCAAAUUCUCCGUCAGACUUCGCGAGAAUCAUCGUGCAGUCUAAGCAGACCAAGCGAGCGCAGGUGUGCGGCGGAGCCGACCACCGGCUGCUGCGGUCCCUCGCCAACACCGGCGCAGAGGUCAUGGUCACCAUCCCCAACUCACAUCUGCAGCACCUCGCCGAGUUCCGGGACGAGGCCCGGCUCUGGGUGGCCGCCAAUGUGGCGCCGUUCCUCCCGGCGACCAUGAUCACGCACGUCCUAGCGGGAGACGAAAUCCUGUCGUCCGUCUCCCCCGGAGACGCCGCCUACUCGCUGGUCCCCGCUAUGCGGAACCUCCACGCCGCCCUUGUCGCUGCCGGACUUGACGGCCACGUCAGGGUGUCCACCGUGCUCUCCUCGGUGCCGCUCGCCCCGUCGUGGUCCCCCGGCAUCGCAGGGCACGUCCUGCGGUUCCUGUUGGAGACCGGCUCACCGUUGUUCCUCAAGGCUCGCACGUCGGAUGUCAGAGUCGACGACGUGUACGCCGCGAUGCGGGCGCUGGGCUUCUCAGGCAUCCCACUGAUCGCGGCAGAGUCGGCGGAGCUCGCUCUCAGUGGCGCGCUGGUGUACCACAGCUACUUGUAUGGCCGUCAUCCCAUGACCGCCGGUGGAGGUGGGAGGCGGUCGCUGGCGACGGGGACGUUCUGCGUGGCCUUGCAGAACGCGGACCCGACAGCGCUGCAGGCGGGCCUGAGCUGGGCGUGCGGGCAGGGGCAGGCCGACUGCUCGGCGGUGCAGCCCGGAGGGGCGUGCUACAAGCAGAACAACGUGGCGGCGCUGGCCUCCUACGCCUACAAUGACUACUACCAGAAGAGCGCCAGCACCGGCGCCACCUGCUCCUUCAACGGCACCGCCACCACCACCGCCACUGAUCCCAGCUCAGGAUCGUGCGUCUUCGCAGGAAGCACCAUGGCAGGAGACUCCACCUCCAACUCGAGCGUGCCGAGCGCCAGCCCUCCGACGAGCCUGGGCGCCCCUCCGUCAGACGAUCUCACUCCUCCGGUCAGCUCCAGCCCUCCGACGAGCCUGGGCGCCCCUCCGUCAGACGAUCUCACUCCUCCGGUCAGCUCAAGCCCUCCGUCCGACUUCGGCCCCCCGGCAACCGACACGGCACCUCCGACGAGCUUUGACGCUCCCGCAGGUGGCUUCGGACCACCGUCUGGCUUCAGUCCCCCGUCUGUGUUCGGCAGCCCGCCAUCGACGUUCGGCCCGCCCGGGAGCUUAACCGGGAGCGGGAGCUUCGGGCCGAGCAGCACCCUCGAGCCUUACGGCGUCGGGUGUCGCCACGUGGCCUCCUUGGCUGCCUCCACUCUUCUGUCCGCCAUUGUUCUCGCGGUCCUUUGCGCGUCACCAGAUCUGAUGUAA